AAACCAACCGGGAUUGCCUUAGUAACGGCGAGUGAAGCGGCAAAAGCUCAAAUUUGAAAUCUGGUACCUUCGGUGCCCGAGUUGUAAUUUGUAGAAGGUAACUUUGGGGCUGGUCCUUGUCUAUGUUCCUUGGAACAGGACGUCAUAGAGGGUGAGAAUCCCGUGUGGCGAGGAUCCCAGUUCUUUGUAAAGUGCUUUCGAAGAGUCGAGUUGUUUGGGAAUGCAGCUCUAAGUGGGUGGUAAAUUCCAUCUAAAGCUAAAUAUUGGCGAGAGACCGAUAGCGAACAAGUACAGUGAUGGAAAGAUGAAAAGAACUUUGAAAAGAGAGUGAAAAAGUACGUGAAAUUGUUGAAAGGGAAGGGCAUUUGAUCAGACAUGGUGUUUUGCGCCCUCUGCUCCUUGUGGGUGGGGGAAUCUCGCAGCUCACUGGGCCAGCAUCAGUUUUGGCGGCAGGAUAAAUCUGCAGGAAUGUAGCUUGCCUCGGUAAGUGUUAUAUCCUGUAGAAAUACUGCCAGCUGGGACUGAGGACUGCGACUUUACGUCAAGGAUGCUGGCAUAAUGGUUAUAUGCCGCCCGC
rnacentral:rRNA from 1 species